rnacentral:lncRNA from 1 species
UAGGGGAAGGGGACAUUCCCAGGGUAGGGAAGGACUGGGGACUCCCACAGGAUUAGGGAGGAGACAUAGGGGAAUUCUUUCUCUUCUUCUAAAAGUGGAACCCAAAGGGGAUUCCGGCGCUCUGCAUGGCCUGGGGCAGUACGUGCCGCUGUCGCUGGCCCCCACCUAUCAGGGAAAGACUCUGCUGUUCAUCACUCCGGGGAUAUCUGCAUGAAGCAGAGGGGUCCAGCCGUUCCCAUCCAGACUUCUGAAGGCCCGUGUCAUCACUUAUUCCCGGAACCUGGCUCCCAAGAAGGAACGUAUAACCAGCCUGUGGACCAUGAUGAGAGAGUACUCCCACCCUCCACCCCACAAGAGCACUUCACGUGGCAGCCCUCCUGUUCCUGGCGGCUCCUGAACAUGAGCUUGGCAAACACUUCAAGCCGGAAGACAUGUUACCCAGGAAAAGAAUUGCUUUCAGGGACUCAUUGUCAAUAAAUUGCUUCUGGAAUUCUAUUUACCUCUAUUUCCCCUUUUCACACAAAGAAAACAAGUCACAGAUGGCUUUGCAAAAUUCUCUGAAGGAAGUUGCCAAAGGUCUCUAACCUCCUAAGUUCCCGUUCUCUCUCUCGGUCCUGAAUCAUUCGGACCACGUGUCAC